GUUGGAGGGGGAGUCAGCCAUGUUGGUUGUGGUGGUGAGGGAGGUUGACGCACCGGCGUCAUGCUGGGUACACGAGUUCUAGGCUCCUUGGAUAAUCGUGAAAAAGACCGCAGAAUAAGUUCCUAUUACAAAUACAAGAGAUACAGCAUCUUCCUGCAUAUACUUGGACAGCUCUUCAUCUUGCACAGAGGUGGAAAACUGUAAACACCAAUUGGCUCCCCGUCAGAAGAGGAUUUCUUUUAGUUCUUAGAAAUGGGAUAAUGAUGGGUCCUGGUUGUGAUUCCUGCCUUGUCACGAAUGAUCACGGUAGGGUUCAAGAAAAAUGCGAUAUUGUGGUCGUGUAAUGGUUCAGUUGCAAGUACUUGAAGGAAUAAUACCCGCUGGAGCUGUUUUCUACGCCAGGAAAACCUUACAAGGUUUGGCUCAAUGGUUAAUUAGCAAGGGUGACUACAGGAGCUAGUUUAUUUCUAGUAAAGUACAGGAAGGCACUGGAGCCCGAUAUUUAGUUUUAAGGAGACAUGACGAAUAAGGAGGUUUC